UUUAUUCAUGAUACAGCACGGCUAUGACCGCUUCACCAAACCGUUCUGUGUAUCACUGAGCAACACCCUUAGCAACAUAAACAAUCAAUAGCAUCAAAACUGUUUAAUGUAUUAUGCAUUUCGGCAGAAUUAACUGUCUGUUAUUUAUUUAAUGAAGCAUGAGUGACCCCUGCUGGCGUUAUGUUGCAUCUUUCAUCUUUAAUUUUGAGAACCCGCCCGUCUAAAUAAACGCUUCUCAUGCGGAGAUGUGUGUGCGGCGCGCGUCUGAGUGAAAGACUGCAGUUUCUGAAGUGAGGAGGGAAUAUUACUGAAUUUAUUAGUUUUCUGUUUCAGGUAUGAUUCUCCGCUUCGCGUCGUGCCUAACAACGCCCUUCAGCCGUGAUUUAUUCACGAUACAGCACGGCCUCUCGUACCUUAUUGCUUACUUACAGGGUAACGUUAUAUGAUUAAUGGAAGAAGGUGAAGUACACUGUAAAAAAGUAUUUUGCAGUUUAGUUGUUUCAAUUAAUGUUUUUAAGUUGACUCAACUUGCAGUUUAUUAGUUUGUUCAUUCAACUUAAAAUUUUAAAUUGUCACUGUCUCAACUAGUUCGCAAGUUGACAAAACUAGCCAUUUGCACCCUCAACUUAAAAAAAAAUGUGUUGAAUCAAUUUAAUAACGAUAUCACGUCACUUAUCGCGAGAUCACGUGAAGACUUGCAGAAAGAAGACGUUGGUCAGCCAUCUUGAUGAGCUUCUCCACAGAGCUUGAAAAUAUUUUCAAACCAACACUUUUGUUAAAGUAUAGAAGUGCCUCACCGGAACCCAUCGCAACGCUGUGUGAAUAUACGGUCGGUUAAAAAAUUGGAGGUUUGAAAAGUAAUAAUGGCAUAUACAGUAUCUUGUAUAAAAAGCCCCGUGAUAAGGAUAAUCACAAAUGUGUAAAAUUAGCUUUUCUGUUGUUUUGUUCUAAUUUCCUGUGUUAUGUAAUUUAAAAGCCUUUUCUGGAUUGUAAAAUAUGGUUUUGGUAAUUGAAACGUAAACUAGCAAUGACAUUUGACUUUCUCUGUCAAGAUUAUUUAUUUUUAUUUAUAGUGUUGUAACAUGUUUCUAUAUUUUCCAUGUUCAUGAUACUCUGCAAUGACUAAAGAUCAGCACAUAAUUCUUGUGGAUGGACCUCAGCAAGUCCUUCUGCAGUUGUAUCCAUCAAAGUGCUAUGCAGACACAAUGGGAAUGACUGUCACAUUGUAGAGCCUGGACAAAUUGUAAAUAAAUGUAUUUACUUUAUAAGUGCACAUAUUUAUUGGAGUCUGUGACUGUUAAUAUUGUAAGGCAUAUUUUAACGCUUCCCUUUGUUUUUAUUAAAGCACACAGGUUCUCAAGAGGAAUUCAUCAAGGACAAGUCUGUUGGCAUUUUAGUUGUUGUCGGUGACCAAAAUGAGCACUAUCAAUCUGCAGUGAUGUGGUCCCGAUAGUAGAAAAAUAAAUCUUGUUUAUCUGCAGUUAUAACACCCAUAUCAUGAAUUGAGAUGACAUGGGCAUCUUGGUUGUGACUGAGGAGGAGCAAUGGGAGGUGCUUCCAAAAUAAACCAAUGACGUUGCUAUCAUUUUGGAAGAGCGUCUUGUCGCUAUCGAUAUCUGUGAUGUCCCAAAAGCAUUUGUGCUCCUGAUGGGUCUUUACAUCAUUAACAAAACACAGUACAGUUCUGAUGUUCUCAAAACUUUGCACGAACAUUGGUGGGAGUAGCUGUUCUUCACGUGUUUACAGGCUACGAAACAUGCUACUCUGCAAAAAGUAGGCUUUUUGAUUGGUUUUUGCACUUUGUUCAACUCACAUUUUUUUGCCAUGUUAUGGCAUCUCUUUUUAAAAUUUUGAAUGCACUUUGAUGCAUGUUCUGACUUCUGACUUAUAUUGAAAUGGAAAAUUUCAGAAUUACUCAUCUGUUCUUUUGAUUAAAUGUGCAUUAGUGAAAGGAAUGUAGAUAUUUACUGCAAUUGUUCCAAAGAAAUUAAAUGUCAGUGUUCAUCUAUGUUUUUUAAAGAUAGGAUGUUUUAAUUCAAACACAAUAAUGCUAAGUAGGAUACUGUCAAUUUUGAAAUCAAAUAAAAUAGCAUUCUGCAUGUUCUUCAAUGUCCAUGAGCCAUUUUUCUGAAGUACUGUUAGAAAAUAGAAACUUGUUGUGCGGGCAAAUUACAUAGUUCAGCCAGUUGAAUGAACUUAACAUUACAAGUAAGAUGAACUAUUCUCGAAAAAGUUACCUGGCUGCCUUAAAAA